GAACGCACCUUGCGCUCCUUGGUAUUCCGAGGAGCAUGCCUGUUUGAGUGUCAUUAAAUUCUCAACCUCACCCGUUUUCUGAACGGUACCCGAGGCUUGGAUGUGGGGGUUUGUGCAGGCUGCCUCAGCGCUGGUCUGCUCCCCUGAAAUGCAUUAGCGAGUUCAUACUGAACCUCCGUCUAUUGGUGUGAUAAUUAUCUACGCCGUGGACUGGGUUUAGACUCGCUUCUAAACGUCCGCAAGGACAAUACCUUUGACAAUUUGACCUCAAAUCAGGUAGGACUACCCGCUGAACUUAAG
rnacentral:misc_RNA from 1 species